rnacentral:rRNA from 1 species
GACGAACGCUGGCGGCGUGCCUAAUACAUGCAAGUCGAACGAGAGCGACCGGUGCUUGCACUGGUCAAUCUAGUGGCGAACGGGUGAGUAACACGUGGGUAACCUGCCCAUCAGAGGGGGAUAACAUCCGGAAACGGAUGCUAAAACCGCAUAGGUCUUCGAACCGCAUGGUUUGAAGAGGAAAAGAGGCGCAAGCUUCUGCUGAUGGAUGGACCCGCGGUGCAUUAGCUAGUUGGUGAGGUAACGGCUCACCAAGGCCGUGAUGCAUAGCCGACCUGAGAGGGUGAUCGGCCACAUUGGGACUGAGACACGGCCCAAACUCCUACGGGAGGCAGCAGUAGGGAAUCUUCAGCAAUGGACGCAAGUCUGACGGAGCAACGCCGCGUGAGUGAAGAAGGUUUUCGGAUCGUAAAACUCUGUUGUUAGAGAAGAACAAGUGCUAGAGUAACUGUUAGCGCCUUGACGGUAUCUAACCAGAAAGCCACGGCUAUCUACGU